CGUGGUCUAAUUGGCCGGAUGACCAUUCAAUGGUGGCGAUCAAAUGGAGACUCGCUGUUUGAGUCCUCUGCUGUUGGUCCCUUCGUGUCCAAAACUCGGAAACCUUCUCUCUCGCACGCAUUCAAGCACUCACCUUUCGAGUUUCCGAUCCAUUUCUCAGGACAAAUUGAAUUCACCGAUUGGAUAAUCGGAACCGAAAACGCCCAUUUGGGGAUUCGAAUUGAGAUUGGGAUUUGUCCAAUUCGAACACUGGUUCGUCCAUGCCAGCAUCUCUUGUUCUUGUUACCGAGUUUUGGGCAUUGGGUUUUUUGAAUUGUUGAAUCAGCAGUAGGUUUUUGACAAUGGAAGGUAAUAAGGAUGAAGCGUUGAGGUGUGUUCGAAUUGCCGAAGAAGCAAUUGCUUCCGGCAACAAAGGGCGUGCGUUGAAAUUUAUUAAGAUAGCACAACGGCUUAAUCAGAAUUUGCAAGUUGAUGCACUUUUGGUUAAGUGUGAGGCGAUUAAUUCGGGGUCUUCCGCAUCUUCUGUUGAUGAGAAGAGUGCUAGUGAGAUUAGGAAGGGGGCCGGUGUGGAAAAGUUGGACCGCGGUUUGAAUGGGGAGGUUAGUUAUACAGAAGAGCAUAUUCAGUUGGUUAGGAAGAUUAAGAGAAACAAAGACUAUUACGCAAUUCUUGGCGUGGAGAAGACUUGCUCGGGUGAGGACAUUAGGAAGGCUUAUAGGAAAUUGUCACUGAAAGUUCAUCCUGAUAAGAACAAGGCUCCUGGUUCAGAAGAGGCUUUUAAGAUAGUGAGCAAGGCUUUCAAGUGUUUGAGUGAUGGAGAUUCGAGGAGGCAGUAUGAUCAGACUGGACUGGUUGAUGAAUUUGAGUACAACCAGCAGCACAAUAAUAUGAGGAGGAGGAGGAGAGGUGGGAAUGACUUUUUUGACGAUGAUUUUGACCCCGAUGAGAUAUUCAGGGCGUUCUUUGGUCAAUCAGACAUGUUUCGGACAGGUCGUGUUUAUAGGACUAGUAGACCAGCUGGCCAUCAGAGGGAGGAGUCUCAGGGAGGGGGACCUAACAUCAUGCUUCUUGUUCAAAUAUUACCAUUCUUGGUAAUUGUGUUGUUAGCAUAUCUGCCCUUCUCGGAGCCUGUCUACUCAUUGCAGAAGAAUUACAACUACCAGAUUCCCAAGACGACAGAGAAAUAUGGAGUGGAAUUUUUUGUUAAAUCGCAAGCAUUUGAUGAGAGUUAUCCUGUUGGAAGUGUUGCUCGAGAUAACAUAGAGAACAGCGUUAUCAAGGAUUACAAAAAUGUGCUUGUACACUACUGUCGGGUUGAGCUUCAAAGGCGUCACUGGAGUAAGAAUCUACCUACUCCUCACUGCGACAAAUUGAAUAACCUUGGAGUAGCAUGAAGCAACCGUGCAGUUUUGAAAUUCAAGUCCUUUGAAGCAUAAUUCAUGGACAAUACAGGCUAUACGGCUGAAGUGGACCAUGUCAAACGUGGACUCAAAGUACAGCUGGUUGAUAUUGUAAAUGCUCCUGUCGACUUCUUUGGAAGUGACCAAGGAUUGCAUAUCCUCUCCGAUAUUACUAGCUGGCCACACAGCUGUUCGGGAAUGUGGUCCAGGAUAGUGGUAGCGAGGGUUUUCAGCACCCGAAUGGCAUAUCAUUUGGCUAGAAAUAACAGUGUACACAACUCUUGAAAUAACCUGUGAGGUCAAUACCAGUUACGAAAGUUUAUGAAAAGUUGAGCAAUUGGUUUGUGAUAGUGAUUAUUUCCGCUUUAAAACCCUACAGUUUUCUUUGUAUUCUUUUUAUCAGACUAUGCAGUUGCUGUUUAGUGUUUCCUUU